UGAAGCAACUUAGCACGCACAAACAAGUGGUCCAUAUUUGUUUUCUUGUUUUGUAACUUCGGUUAAAUGAUGAGUAUUGUUUAACCUGUGAUCCUAUUGCAUUUUAAACCUCUUUGAUAUUUUUAUCAAACUCUUAGCUAAAGUUCUUUUAGCCUCCAGUUGACUCUGGGAUACUUCAAAGGAACAUCUCUGAAAGAUCUUGGAGAGGAAUAUUAAACUAAGUUUAUUUGGUAUGUUAAAUUACUUCAGAAAUAUUGUCAACUAAUUGAAGAUGAACCUUAGGUUAUAGUGCAUGGAUAAAUGUCAUUAAUAUAUUCCAAAAUUUAUAUGGAAUCCCUACCCUCUGAUAUGUCCUGAUAUAGUGUUAUUAAUCAUAAUUCUAGUUAUUAUCCUAAAAUGUUACAUCACAAAAAUAUCCAAGGUUCCUGCUAAUUGCAUUGUACUUAAAUCUUUAACCAUACUAUUUUAAGCUUUGUCCUUUAUAGACAAUAAUUAUUUUACACUGAUGCUUUUACAAAAUGAAGAUGUUUCAAGAAGACUCAUAAAAAGAACUUUUUAAACAAAAAUCUCUGAUAGCUUUAGAUGAUGCCAUUGAAGUGGGUAACAAGUGACAAAACUAAUGGAAUAUCUGAUUCUUUCAUCCAGAUGAACAGGAAUUAAUUACAUAGGACUGAAUGAAUGGUGAAUAGGAUUUAUAACUAUGACUUUUGUCAAUGGUACUAGCUGUAUUACUUAUCUUGUCUAUUUUAUAAUAUCGUGUCUAUUUUGUGAAAUUGUUGUCUUUUACAGUACCCAAUGUGCAACCGGGCCUCCAACAAAAUUGAUGAUGGCUAAACAUCUUGAGGAAAUUGAUUAUAUUUAUGACUCUUAUAAUUUUAAGUGUGAUUCCAGGGCCUACUCUGGAGCUUUGCACUUGGAGUGCACGUCAACAGGAACUUCUGCCUGAUCUGGGAUGAGCCUCCCUGUGCCCUGGGAUAAUAAUUGGUCAUGAAAUGUCUCCCAGAUAUUGGUCAAAUUCUGGUUCAAGAGAAGGAUCUGAGAAAUAAGAAUAUUUCCGGCCAUAUCAGUACACAAGGAUGUCACAGUCAUCAGCGACUUCAGUCCUGCAACAUGAGCCUGAGAAACUCAGGAAAGACAAGAAUACCUGCCAUCUAGCAACCAGCCUGCAGCCACUCCCUACAGUGAGCCCUGAGGAAACUCAGAAUGGGGAAACACUGCAUACGGCCCCAGCUAGGUGAGGUACAUAUCAAAGGAAUGAUUUCCAUGAGCCCCAAACUUCUUGCAUCUGCCCAUACAGAGAAAAGUGCUAAAUUCCUGAUCUUGAGAUAACUGGUUUUCUUUAAUUAACAAUCAUCUGGUUCUGACUACUGCCCUUUGUUAAAAAGUUCUGUGUAAUGUAGCUCCCCCUCAUGGCCCCCUUGGAGCAGUUCUCUGAGGGUUACUUUAGAUGCUGUCUCCUGGGCUUGAAAUCCUAAAAAUUCCCACCAAAUAAAACAUAACUCUCAACUUUAA